CCUGGGUCCCUCUUGCCUGGCUUGACAAGGGGAACCACUGGAGGCUUCCCUCACUGUCACCCCAAAAGGUGCCCUCUGCAGGGAGCUGGCAGGGAGGAGAGGACAACGGGCAAACAACCACAAAUCAGGGCUGUCCUGAUUAAAUCAGGCAUGGAUGGCAAGAAACAUAUUUCACCUACUUGCUUUCCUUUCCCGGGAAAGACGGAAGCCACUUCAGGAUAAUAUUCUCCACUGGCUGCCAGUUUGGACUCUGCUUUGUGACCUGGCUAUGUCUCCUGGUUUUCAGUGAAGAAAGUCAACUUUUUGGGACGAAUUCUGGUGAAUUCUCCUUGAAGGGAUAUGGAAAUAGACAUUCUGGAAGGUACGGUGCUGCGGCUGUGCGUAGCCAAAUGUCUGAUUCUUUCCAGCAGAUGGAGGCAUACUGCAAGAAGCUUCCAAUGAAACAACCAAAAAUAUUUUUUCCCCGGGAAACACUAACAUUUAGGGGGAAAAAUAUCCACAAAAGAGGGAAAUUAAAUGAAUAA
rnacentral:lncRNA from 1 species